rnacentral:rRNA from 1 species
ACUUUAUGGUUCUUGGACUGACCUUGUGUGAUAUGUAUUUCUGUUUCUCGUGGUUCGAGUGCCCAGUUCUUGUGAUGAGAACUGCGUCUGGGUCUGGCGUUGAUCAGGUUAACUCCUAGUCCGCCGGAUUCCUGGUCCACGGAAAGGUUCGUUGAGGCCUUUCUCUUCACUGAGAUAGCGCUCUCCGAACCUGCAAUAACCUUAUGUUUUUAUAUGUUUUGUCUUAUCAUUUCUCACAUUCUGAAUGUGUAAAUUUAAAACAACUUUUGACAACGGAUCUCUUGGCUCUCGCAACGAUGAAGAACGCAGCGAAAUGCGAUAUGUAAUGUGAAUUGCAGAAUUCAGUGAAUCAUCGAAUCUUUGAACGCACAUUGCGCUCCUUGGUAUUCCGGGGAGCACACCUGUUUGAGUAUCAAUAAUCUCUCACAAUUCAUUCUUCUUGUCGAAAGGCUCGAGGAUCGAAAUGUGGAUUUGGAUCUUCUGUAUCCUUGUGACACAGUGGUCUUAAUUUCAAUGUCAGAAGCCUUCAACGAGAGUUGGAUCGCUUGCUUGAAAUGUAAGGAAUGGGUCUUGUACUCUUUUUCUUUCUCGCAAUGAUCCCUCGUAUACUUUGGUUGGAGUGAUUAUUUUUGAUCCCUAUUAUUAUACGUUCGGUUGAAACAGUAUGUUUCAGUCGUCUGAAUACUUGGUCUCAAAUCAGGUGGGAAAACCCGCUGAACUUAAGCAUAUCAAUAAGCGGAGGAAAAGAAACUAACAAGGAUUCCCCUAGUAACGGCGAGUGAAGCGGGAAGAGCUCAAAUUUGAAAUCUCAUAGGGUCACCUGUGCGAAUUGUAGUUUAUAGAAACGUCUUCGGGGGUAACACGAGCAUAAGUCCUUUGGAAUGAGGCAUCAUAGAGGGUGAGAAUCCCGUCUUUGGUUCGUUGUUUACUCCUAUGUGAUAUGUUUUCUAAGAGUCGGUUUGUUUGGGAAUGCAGACCAAAAUGGGUGGUAAAUACCAUCUAAAGCUAAAUAUUGGCGAGAGACCGAUAGCGAACAAGUACCGUGAGGGAAAGAUGAAAAGAACUUUGAAAAGAGAGUUAAACAGUACGUGAAAUUGUCAAAAGGGAAACGCUUGAAACCAGUAUUGCUGGCAGUUGAUCAGCCGCGCAUAUAUGUGCGGUGCACUCUUCUGUUGGCGGGUCAACAUCAGUUUGAUUCGGGGUAAAAAGCCAGGAGAAGGUAGCUUAGGGUUCGCCUUGAGUGUUAUAGCUUCUGGUCCUGCCUUGGAUCGGACUGAGGAUCGCAGCGUUAAUUUGGGGCUCCAGCCGCCUCCUGAAACCUCUUCUUUGACAGCUUGACUGACUUUGAAGAAAUGUAGGGAGCUCGGUUGGUUUUCCACACCUACGC